rnacentral:lncRNA from 1 species
AGGCCCUAAAGUCAGAGAACCAGACACAGGAGGAAGAAGAAACUUCAGAGAGGUGAAGCAUGGGCCAGUGCUUGAGAAAAGCAUUAACUGAUGCCAGGCAGAAGCGAGUAUAAAGUCACCAAGGGACUAAGUGACCUGAAGUGCAAUCAGAGGAACACAACCGAGUUCCCUUGCUCUCGACUAAACAAGGGCUCUUCACCAGCCCAGAAAAGUUCCACUUUGGUUUUACAGUCGUGAAAGCAUCGGUGCAUUUCCAGACAGGGGAGCCAUAAGAUUCAGCAAAAUGGGGAAAAUGCGAUUGUGAGGAUGAGAUGGGACAAUGUGCCUGAAGCUUAUGGCACACAGUAGGCAUUCAAUAAAUGAUGCUCCC